rnacentral:lncRNA from 1 species
GAGUAGACUGUUCUUGAAACAACUGAAAAGAAAACCUCUUUAGCAGUUGGGAAGAAACGUGAUUAACCAUGUGGCAGCAAAUGGACAUUUUCAAAAGAGGUCCUAAAUCCAGGGCCCCUGCUUUGCUCAGCUCCAGAGCACCCAUUCACAUAGAAUUACAGUGACUGCUGCUUCCUGGAGGCCUGUGCACAGAAGGCGCUGCUGAGAUCUGGAUUUGCGCUUGGGGCUCCUGAACAAAUGUGGCCUCCAUUCAGCCUUGCAGGCCAAUUUUCAGGUUUGACCCCUGGCACACACUGACCCCAGGUGAAGACAGAGCAGACUCUGUAGUCUGCCAAAGGAUGAACUCUGAUCUAAGCUCUCUGAAGCAGUCCUGGCCUCUGGAUAAAUGACCUCUUCAAUUAGGCUUCUUUACGUUUCAUGUAGAUGAAGAGAUUUUGGCUCAUUUCCCCACUUCUGCCUUUGCUCAAUGUGAAAACACAUUGUAAAAUAUAAUCAUUUGAGGGUGAUUCUAACAGUUCUAACUGACUGGCUGUUCUGGAAGAUAAAAAUAAUACGAUUUUAAAGGAACCUUAACUUUUGAAAGUGAAGUGAGUACCACAUGCUGCAAAGGAGAAUAUUGAUUUAAUGGCCACACAUAAUCCUGUAAAUUUAGUCAUGAAACAGACACUAAUUUUAAAGAAUAGUGGUACUAUUAAAAUAUACCUCUGCACAGCUGUAGGACAAACAGAUUUGAUUCCCCUCAGGGGAAACUGAGAGGUCCAAGUGGUCUUUGCCAGUCUGUGAACUUGCAGUGUGUGUCAGUGACAGUUUGAGUACUGCGGGCUAUAGGACUUGCAUUCCUAAGCAAGUUCUCUAGGCUUCCACAGAAAUAAGCGAUAAAAAUUGCCCUUCUGUGUUUUGAGUUAACUUCCUUUAGAUCUCAUUGAGCCAAGAGCCAAAUCCACCAUGAGUAAAAGUGUUGAGCAUUGUCAGAGAGCUGUACUAAUGGACAAAGGCUGACUUUAAAGGUCAUAAAGUAUUUCUCUCACAUGGGUGAUGAAUAGCAGUUUGGAAUUUCCUUGGCUCUGUUAUACUGUGUGCUGAGGUGGUGGUAAUGUUUAUCAGGGAAGCCUGUCUUGGCUUAUUGGACUAAAUGAGAGGCUAAGAAGGGAAUGCUGUCCUAUGUCAGGGCGUUAUAGGAUAGACAUUUUCUAGCUAAGAUCUCCAGGGAAAAGUUUGAGGGAUCACGAGAGAUGGAUGAAUCAUGAGGAAGGGGAUCUACAUAUUUCUGACCAGCUCAGAGUAAGAGUGAGAUAGACAAGAGGAAUGCAGAAAUGGUACCACAAAGACAAAUGCUCCUAGAAGCCAAACGGAACAGGCAAGGAAGAGGAAUUCAGACUCUUUUGGGGGGUCUUCUUGCUUCACUACAUACAAAUCACCAAUUGCUGGAACUUCAUGGAGAAUUAGAAAGGUUUCUUCAUCCCAGUCAAUUCUGUGUCAUCAAUAAAUAUGGUUACAUUGAUAAAUAAGGUUAACCUGAAAGUCCAACUAACAUUUUCUUUAAAUAUAUUUUGGAGCAGAUCUUGAAAUCUCCUUAGGUAGACUGUUAUAGUGUUGAUUCAUCUUUACUUUGUGGAUCUCUUUACCUUAGGUUGUACAAAUCCUUCAAAUUUAAGUCCAUAUUUUUCUGGUUCCAUUUUCCACAGAGAUGGAGAUCCGGUUAGGUGUCUUGUCUCCUUGUGGUAAUACAAGCACCAAUUAAAUCACAGUUUUAAAAGGCAGAACAAUUUGAGAUUCUUAUUUCUUUUGUGCAUCUAGUUUCUAAUCUUGUUAAUGCCUUUUUUUCUUUGUGACCUUCUUAAAUAUUUGUAAGCUUUUUUUAAAAAAAUUCUUUUUUAAUAACAUGUUUGACUGCUUACUUGUUAUGUGUCAGGCAGUGUUCUAAGCACUUCACAUGUCAUUACAUGCUUUACCAAAUUAGUAGAUGUGCAUUAUUGAAGCCUCAUGGGUUUCUAAAAAAUUAAUCAUUUUGCAUAAAGAUUCUGACAUUUCUCUCAAGCAAACAGAAAUAAUUUUUUCUGGUCAUUAUUUCUUGUUUUCCUACCUUGUAGGGGCUCUCUGGAAAUUGAUUUUCGAUUUGCACCAGUUGUUUUAAUAUUCUAGUGUUUUCCAAUUCUGUCAGUAUUAGUAGCUUCGAUGAAUACUGCAAUUUACCCUGACAUUCAGGAAAGCUCAAUAUGCUAAUUAAAAGAUGCUGAUCAGGAGAUGUUAAAUUUCUGUUAGGAUCCAGUUAAAUAUAACACAAAGAUUUCUGACAGAGAAGAAAUGGAUGAUAACAAAUAUAGAAGCAGGUGGCAGAAACUGUUUAAAAGAUCACUAGAUGUCAUUCUGGAAGAUAAGGCAAAAUAAGAAUAUGUGCUAAAACAGAACAGUUUAACCCUUGAUAAUUAUUGGAAAACUUCGUGCCUAACACAGGGCUGUGUUCAUUCAUCUGGCCAUUCAAGGAAUAACUAUGCUCAUGCAUGUGGUCCCUGUAUUGAAGCUCAGGCACAGUGAUUGAGAUGUCGUUCUUUUUCUUGAGGGACAAGCUGACAAAGAGCAGAAGGAUGUAGGCAGCGCUCACCUCAUCCCUGCAUUUCAUAAGUUGUGAGAAUGGCAAGUCUUGCACACUCCUAAUAUGCCAGUUAGGGGCAUUUUGCUUGGGAUGCUGUAAUUGAGAAAAAAAGAGGAGUGUGCUUAGAGGAAGGUAAUUUUUCCUAUGGGCGUCCGUGAUGACAGCGGGUGUGAAGAAUCCUAGUGACUGCGGGAAAGAGUGACUGCUGCUGUGAACCAGGACAUGCAGAAAGUUCUGCCAAUGCCUCAGGAGGCUAAGAAAGGCCCCUCUCCCAGUCUGGAGCAGGUCUGAAUUGGAGAGCCAAGAGGGUGCACAGUGCUAAGGGAGGGGACAGAAUCUAGUCCUGGGGGGUUCUUGGGUCCCUGUGAUCUGAAGUGGAGGAGGUGAUGCUCACUGCGGGCAGAGGCUCUCAUGCUCCCUCCACAUGCAAAGUUCAGGGUUCCUUGCUGCUUUCGUUUAAUAAAACCUCUCUCUACAACCUUUUCUUAAUGGUCUCACUGGGAUGAUUCUGAAGAGAGAAUUUAUCAGGUCAGGCAGCAACCUUAACCUCUCCAAAUCCAGCAACGUCAGUUCUUCUGCGACAGGAAACUUGGGCAAUAAGGACCAUGAAAAUAUCCAGUAAAUUACCACGAUGCUGUCAGUGCUGAUACUGUUAAAUUUUGAGUAGGAAUUUCACAAAUUGACCUUUACUGCACUAUAUAAAAUCAUAUAACAUAACAUAGUAUAAUAUAACAUCCCUGUGAAGUUCUUGUCAAUAAAUGAUAACCACAAGAUUAAAAGGUGGAAAACCCUUAUUUUCUUAGGGAUAUCAAAGUACGUAUAAGAUUUAGGCAUCCUAUUUAGUCUCAGGUGUAAGACAAUUCUGGUCUGUCUCUCCCUUUCUCUCUGCAAUUGUUUUUCUGAGCACACUUGACUGAAUGCCCUUGAUAACUUAGCAGUAGCCACCUAUCAUGUGCCUCUUAUGAUGUGUUGGACAUUUUGCAUGUAUUAUUACAGCCAAUACUCACAGAAACUCUGCCAAGGUAGGUAUUAUUAUGUCUCAUUUACACAUUGAAAGUUGAAAUCAUUUGGAGAGAUUUGUUCCAGAGGCAGAGUGGAGGUUCAAG